rnacentral:rRNA from 1 species
CGGCGAGUGAAGCGGCAACAGCUCAAAUUUGAAAUCUGGCCUCGGCCCGAGUUGUAAUUUGCAGAGGAUGCUUCUGGCGCGGUGCCUUCCGAGUUCCCUGGAACGGGACGCCACAGAGGGUGAGAGCCCCGUAUGGUCGGACACCAAGCCUGUGUGAAGCUCCUUCGACGAGUCGAGUAGUUUGGGAAUGCUGCUCUAAAUGGGAGGUAAAUCUCUUCUAAAGCUAAAUACCGGCCAGAGACCGAUAGCGCACAAGUAGAGUGAUCGAAAGAUGAAAAGCACCUUGAAAAGGGGGUUAAAUAGUACGUGAAAUUGUUGAAAGGGAAGCACUUAUGACCAGACUUGGGCCGGGCGGCUCAUCAGGGGUUCUCCCCUGUGCACUCCGCCCGGCACAGGCCAGCAUCGGUUCUCGUGGGGGGAUAAGACCGUCAGGAACGUAGCACCCUCCGGGGUGUGUUAUAGCCUGGCGGACGAUACCCCCGUGGGGACCGAGGUCCGCGCAAGGAUGCUGGCGUAAUGGUCAUCAGUGACCCGUCUUGAAACACGGACCAAGGAGUCGUCCAUUAGAGCGAGCGUUUGGGUGUAAAACCCGCACGCGUAAUGAAAGUGAACGCAGGUGAGAGCUUCGGCGCAUCAUCGACCGAUCCUGAUGUUCUCGGAAGGAUUUGAGUAAGAGUUUUAACGGACGGACCCGAAAGACAGUGAACUAUGCUUGUAUAGGGUGAAGCCAGAGGAAACUCUGGUGGAGGCUCGCAGCGGUUCUGACGUGCAAAUCGAUCGUCAAAUAUGAGCAUGGGGGCGAAAG